ensembl:snRNA
GUGCUAGUCCUCCUGAGAGAAGGUUAGCACUCCUUUGGAUAAGGAUGGAAGCGGUACAAGUGGCCUUGAUAAGGCUAAGCCUUUGCCACCAACUCUGUGACAUUUAACCAUGAAAGCCC